rnacentral:rRNA from 1 species
UGCCAGCAGCCGCGGUAAUACGGAGGGGGCGGACGUUUCUCGGAUUUACUGGGCGUAAAGCGACCGCAGGCGGUUAGUUUAGUCAGAUGUGAAAUCCCGGUGCUCAACGCCGGAACUGCAUUUGAAACUGGCUAACUAGAGUCAUCAAGAGGAGAUCGGAAUUACCAGUGUAGAGGUGAAAUUCGUAGAUAUUGGUAGGAACACCAGUGGCGAAGGCGGAUCUCUGGGGAUGUACUGACGCUCAGGGUCGAAAGCAUGGGGAGCAAACAGGAUUAGAUA